CCGUUUUCCGUCCCGGCCCGGACCGGCCGGCGACGGUCGGUAGUAACACGUAUGCAACCUGCCCCUGUCAGGGGACAACCCGCCGAAAGGCGGGCUAAACCCGCGUACAUGCCACCGGGGCAUCCCGGAGGCAGGAAAGGCUUCGGCCGGACAGGGAUGGGCAUGCGGCGCAUUAGGCAGUAGGCGGGGUAACGGCCCACCUAACCGACGAUGCGUAGGGGUUCUGAGAGGAAGGUCCCCCACACUGGUACUGAGACACGGACCAGACUCCUACGGGAGGCAGCAG
rnacentral:rRNA from 1 species